rnacentral:rRNA from 1 species
UGGGGAAUUUUGGACAAUGGGGGAAACCCUGAUCCAGCCAUCCCGCGUGUGGCGAUGAAGGCCUUCGGGUUGUAAAGCACUUUUGGCAGGAAAGAAACGUCGCGGGUUAAUACCCCGCGGAACUGACGGUACCUGCAGAAUAAGCACCGGCUAACUACGUGCCAGCAGCCGCGGUAAUACGUAGGGUGCAAGCGUUAAUCGGAAUUACUGGGCGUAAAGCGUGCGCAGGCGGUUCGGAAAGAAAGAUGUGAAAUCCCAGAGCUUAACUUUGGGAACUGCAUUUUUAACUACCGGGCUAGAGUGUGUCAGAGGGAGGUGGAAUUCCGCGUGUAGCAGUGAAAUGCGUAGAUAUGCGGAGGAACACCGAUGGCGAAGGCAGCCUCCUGGGAUAACACUGACGCUCAUGCACGAAAGCGUGGGGAGCAAACAGGAUUAGAUACCCUGGUAGUCCACGCCCUAAACGAUGUCAACUAGCUGUUGGGGUCUUCGGACCUUGGUAGCGCAGCUAACGCGUGAAGUUGACCGCCUGGGGAGUACGUCGCAAGAUUAAAACUCAAAUGAAUUGAC